GAUGAACGCUGGCGGCGUGCAUAACACAUUCAAGUCGAACGAGGUAGCAAUACCUAGUGGCGGACGGGUGAGUAACGCGUGAGCAACCUGCCCUUGUGUGGGGGAUACCGUCUGGAAACGGACGUUAAUACCGCAUAACACAAGAGGACCGCAUGAUCCUCUUGUCAAAGAUUUAUUGCGCAAGGAUGGGCUCGCGUUGGAUUAGAUAGUUGGUGAGGUAACGGCCCACCAAGUCUGCGAUCCAUAGCCGGACUGAGAGGUUGAACGGCCACAUUGGAACUGAGAUACGGUCCAGACUCCUACGGGAGGCAGCAGUGAGGAAUAUUGGUCAAUGGGCGAGAGCCUGAACCAGCCAAGUAGCGCGAAGGAAGACUGCCCUAUGGGUUGUAAACUUCUUUUGUUCGGGAAUAAAGUGCAGUACGCGUACUGUUUUGUAUGUACCGUUCGAAUAAGCAUCGGCUAAUUCCGUG
rnacentral:rRNA from 1 species